rnacentral:rRNA from 1 species
GACGAACGCUGGCGGCGUGCUUAACACAUGCAAGUCGAACGGAAAGGCCCUGCUUUUGUGGGGUGCUCGAGUGGCGAACGGGUGAGUAACACGUGAGUAACCUGCCCUUGACUUUGGGAUAACUUCAGGAAACUGGGGCUAAUACCGGAUAGGAGCUCCUGCUGCAUGGUGGGGGUUGGAAAGUUUCGGCGGUUGGGGAUGGACUCGCGGCUUAUCAGCUUGUUGGUGGGGUAGUGGCUUACCAAGGCUUUGACGGGUAGCCGGCCUGAGAGGGUGACCGGCCACAUGGGGACUGAGAUACGGCCCAGAUUCCUACGGGAGGCAGCGGUGGGGAAUAUUGCACAAUGGGCGGAAGCCUGAUGCAGCAACGCCGCGUGCGGGAUGACGGCCUUCGGGUUGUAAACCGCUUUCGCCUGUGACGAAGCGUGAGUGACGGUAAUGGGUAAAGAAGCACCGGCUAACUACGU